rnacentral:rRNA from 1 species
UACGUAGGUGGCAAGCGUUGUCCGGAUUUACUGGGCGUAAAGCGCGUUCAGGCGGUUUGGCAAGUCGGGCAUGAAAUCUCUCGGCUCAACCGGGAGAGGUUGUCCGAUACUGCUGGACUUGAGGGCAGUAGAGGGUGGUGGAAUUCCGGGUGUAGUGGUGAAAUGCGUAGAUAUCCGGAGGAACACCAGUGGCGAAAGCGGCCACCUGGACUGUACCUGACGCUGACACGCGAAAGCUAGGGGAGCGAACGGG